UAAAGGGUGCGCAGGCGGCGCGCCAAGUCAGCGGUCAAAGUUCCGGGCUCAACCCGGUGUCGCCGUUGAAACUGGCGUGCUCGAGUGCGUGCGAGGAAGGCGGAAUGCGUUGUGUAGCGGUGAAAUGCAUAGAUAUGACGCAGAACUCCGAUUGCGAAGGCAGCUUUCCAGCGCGCUACUGACGCUGAGGCACGAAAGCGUGGGGAUCGAACAGGAUUAGAUACCCUGGUAGUCCACGCAGUAAACGAUGACUACUAGCUUUCCGGGGCGACUGGGCCCUGGGAGGCACAGCGAAAGCGUUAAGUAGUCCACCUGGGGAGUACGCCGGCAACGGUGAAACUCAAAGGAAUUGACGGGGGCCCGCACAAGCGGAGGAACAUGUGGUUUAAUUCGAUGAUACGCGAGGAACCUUACCCGGGCUCAAACGACAGCGGACAGCGCCUGAAAGGGCGUCUCCGGCAACGGCCGCUGUCGAGGUGCUGCAUGGUUGUCGUCAGCUCGUGCCGUGAGGUGUCGGCUUAAGUGCCAUAACGAGCGCAACCCCCAUCUCCAGUUGCCACCGGGUCGUGCCGGGCACUCUGGAGGGACUGCCAGCGCAAGCUGCGAGGAAGGCGGGGAUGACGUCAAAUCAGCACGGCCCUUACGUCCGGGGCGACACACGUGUUACAAUGGCGGAGAACAGAGGGGAGCCACGUGGCGACACGGAGCCGAUCCCUAAAAUCCGUCUCAGUUCGGAUUGGAGUCUGCAACCCGACUCCAUGAAGCUGGAUUCGCUAGUAAUCGCGCA
rnacentral:rRNA from 1 species